rnacentral:rRNA from 1 species
GACGAACGCUGGCGGCGUGCUUAACACAUGCGAGUCGAACGGAAAGGCCCUGCUUUUGUGGGGUGCUCGAGUGGCGAACGGGUGAGUAACACGUGAGUAACCUGCCCUUGACUUUGGGAUAACUUCGGGAAACUGGGGCUAAUACCGGAUAGGAGCUCCUGCUGCAUGGUGGGGGUUGGAAAGUUUCGGCGGUUGGGGAUGGACUCGCGGCUUAUCAGCUUGUUGGUGGGGUAGUGGCUUACCAAGGCUUUGACGGGUAGCCGGCCUGAGAGGGUGACCGGCCACAUUGGGACUGAGAUACGGCCCAGACUCCUACGGGGGGCAGCAGUGGGGAAUAUUGCACAAUGGGCGGAAGCCUGAUGCAGCAACGCCGCGUGCGGGAUGACGGCCUUCGGGUUGUAAACCGCUUUCGCCUGUGACGAAGCGUGAGUGACGGUAAUGGGUAAAGAAGCACCGGCUAACUACGUG